rnacentral:rRNA from 1 species
GAGUAGUGUUAGUUAAAAUCUUUAAACUCAAAAAAUUUGGCGGUAUUUUAUCUUAUUAGAGGAACCUGUUUAUUAAUCGAUAUUCCACGUUUACUUUACUUUUAUUAAAAAACUUGUAUACCGCUGUCAUGAAUAUACUGGGGGGUGUAUUUUCAUAUGAAUUUUAUGUUAGGUCAAGGUGCAGUUUAUAAAGUUAAAUGGGUUACAUUAAUUGAAUGAAGAAAAAGGAUUUAAUAGUAAAAUUAUAAGAUUUAAUGAAUAAAGAUUCUAAAAUAUG